rnacentral:rRNA from 1 species
CCAGCAGCCGCGGUAAUUCCAGCUCCAAUAGCGUAUAUUAAAGUUGUUGCAGUUAAAAAGCUCGUAGUUGAACUUUGGGCCCGGUUGGCCGGUCCGAUUUUUUCGUGUACUGGAUUUCCAACGGGGCCUUUCCUUCUGGCUAACCUUGAGUCCUUGUGGCUCUUGGCGAACCAGGACUUUUACUUUGAAAAAAUUAGAGUGUUCAAAGCAGGCGUAUUGCUCGAAUAUAUUAGCAUGGAAUAAUAGAAUAGGACGUUUGGUUCUAUUUUGUUGGUUCUAGGACCAUCGUAAUGAUUAAUAGGGACGGUCGGGGG